rnacentral:rRNA from 1 species
GAUAAACGCUGGCGGCGUGCAUGAGACAUGCAAGUCGAACGGACGAACAGGGCUUGCUCUGUUCGUUAGUGGCGGACGGCUGAGUAACGCGUAGGUGACCUGCCCCGAAGUGGGGAAUAACUGCCCGAAAGGGUGGCUAAUACCGCAUGUGGUGAUGCCUUCACGGGCAUCAGUAAAGCCGCAAGGCGCUUCGGGAGGGGCCUGCGUCCGAUUAGCUAGUUGGUGGGGUAACGGCUCACCAAGGCGACGAUCGGUAGGUGGUCUGAGAGGACGAUCACCCAGACUGGGACUGAGACACGGCCCAGACUCCUACGGGAGGCAGCAGUGGGGAAUUGUUCGCAAUGGGCACAAGCCUGACGACGCAACGCCGCGUGGAGGAUGAAGAUCUUCGGGUCGUAAACUCCUGUCGAAUGGGACGAACGGAUCGCGUGUGAACAACACGUGGUCGUGACGGUACCGUUAAAGGAAACCCCGGCUAACUCCGUGC